GGAGGGCUGUGAGGAAAUUAAACAGCUUCAAAUGCUAGUUCUGCUUCUGAUAAUUCAUGAUUGAUAAGCUGAUAAUUAUUGAGCCUUGA
rnacentral:snoRNA from 1 species